GCGGGCCACGGGCGGCGGCGGGCAGGUGAGGGGCCGGGCUCCCGCCCGCCCGGGGCUCCCCGACCCCACGCGGCCUCCACUUCUGCCUGGUUGGCCUCGCUGUGUCAGGCUGCCCGGCUUCGCGGCGGGGCUGCGGGGGGCGCUCCUGCCUCCUCCGGGCCGCGUCUGUGUGCAGGCGUCUGUGUGCAGGCUUUUCUGUUGCUUCCUUCGGUCAGCGAUGGAGCUAGGGUUGCCCGAGCGGAGCCUUCAGAGAAACCAACCAUCCCCAAACGGGUUCGGUUUUCUUGGUUCAGUCCUGGAACUUGGACCCGGGCUCCCAAACAUGCUACUGUAAACCUCUCACUGGGCUGCAUCCCCUUUUUGGUCUUUCUGGUCCUGGAGAUUGGACUAAGGGCCUUCUCACUGAGCCAAACCUCUGACACUUUUUUACAUUUUUAGAUUUUGACACAAGGGCUCCCUUGGGCUCUAAUUUGUGAUCCUCUUGCCUCAGCCUCCCAGAAUGCUGGGAUUACAGGCGCAUGUCUGGCUUCAUUAGUCUUCCUAAAGCCAUGUUUUGGUGAUUUAUGUUAUUUAACAUUGAGGGCGAGGUAUUCCAAUAUUUCAAUUUGUGUAGUUUUUACUGUUAUGGUGUAGCAGCAUGAUGUCUCAUGGGAAGUACUUUAAGAAUUUAAGGAAGCACUUUAUUACAAGAGGAAGAGAUAUAGUGCCUCUCACUGCUUUAAAUUCUUAGAUUUCAUGGGUUUAAAAAUUUUCUUGAGUUUGCAUUUUUAUUUGUAAAUGGUUGCAGUGCAUAUUGAUUACAGUUUUCUUGAGGAGUUGUACAUAACACAUCUUAAUUCUUUGUUCAUCUCUUCUCCCUCUUCCUUCACCUCCCUGCAUCUCUUGAUCCCUUUCCAACCUGAAAAAGAUGUCUCCCUAUUUUCUCUUUUAUUUUGCUGUUUUAUUUAUAUUUUGAGUUUCUCAUAUAAGAGACACCACAUGAUAUUUAACCUUGUGUGAUUUAUUUCAUUUAAUUAUUGUGGUUUCAAGGUGUGUCCAUUUUCAUACACAUGACUCGUUUAUUCUUCUGUAUGGCAGAGUAGUACUCCAUAGUGUAUACAUACCACAUUUUCUUCAUUCAUUGAUCUGUUGAGGGACAUGUAGACUAUUUCUAAGAUUUAGCAGUUAUGAAUUUAUACUGUCGUAAACAUGGGGGUGCGUGUGAUGUCUUUAACUCUUUCCAGAAGAUAUCUACAAGAGGAAUAACUGGGCUGAAUGGCAUUUCUAGUUUUAGUUCUGUGAGGAAUCUCCAUACCGAUUCCUCUGCUGGUUAUACUAGUUUACAUUCUCACUAACAAUGAGGAAACGUACCCCCUUUUCCCCCAGUCAAGGCCGUAUUUGUUAUUGUUUGAUUUCUUGAUGAUAGCCCUUCUUUCUGGAAUAAGAUGCAAUCUCGGUGUUGUUUGAAUUUGCAUUUUUUUGAAUGGCCUGUGAUGUUAAACAUUUUUUCAUGUGUUUAUUGGCUAUUUGUACUUCAGGGAAGUCCCUAUUCAUUUCACUCACCCAUUUUUUCACUGGGUCUUUUAUUGGUAGGGUCUACUUUUUUUUGAGUCCUUUAACUGUUCUAGAUAUGAGUCCUCUGAGAAUAGAUGGAAAUUUUUUUCCCAUACUGUGUAUUGUCUCCUCACACUUGAUUGUUUCUUUUGCUAUAGAGAAGCUGUUGAAUUUGAUAAAAGCCCAUUUGUUGACUUCUAGUAUUUUUGGUGCCCUUGAGGUUCUAUUCAAAAAGUCCUUGCCUAUGCCUAUGUCUUCAAGGGUUUUACCUAUUUUAUCUUCCAGCAGACAGGUUUUUUUUUGGUGGGGGGGAGUACUGUGAAUUGAACUCAGAACCUUGCACUUGCCAGACAGGCACUGUGCCGCUGAGCUGUAUCCCCAGCCUGUUUCUGUUUUAAUACUCAGAUCUUUGAUCCAUUUUGACUUUAGUUUACUGUAUGGUAAUAAAUAUGAGUCUAGAUUCAAUCUCCUGUACAUGAAUUUUGUUGUUUUGCUCAUGGAUUUGGGAGCUGAGGUGAGGCUAUUUGUAAACCUAUCAAAGUAGCUGGGAGAAAAUUUUUGCUUCACAACUGAGACAUUGGAAAGCCCUUUUACCUUCUGGAAUCGCAAACAGCACAUAAUUAAAUGCUUAAAUGGGAAGAGAUCAUUUUCCUUCUGACUCCAAAUACUCCAUGGAGAGAGCUCAAACAUCUAAAAUAUAUGUAAGAUAGAAAUAAAUGACUUUUAGGGGCUGGGGAUUUAGCUCAGGGGGCUGGGGAUUUAGCUCAGCGGCAUAAGCACCUGCCUUGAAAGCAGGCAGUCGUGAGUUCGAUCCCUGGUACCGAUAAAAAUGAAAAAAAAAAAAAAAAAGCCAAAAAAAAAGAAAUAAAUGACUUUAAGGCAUUCAGUAGUGAAAGAAGGCAUCCACUGUGACCUUCUCAACUACAUCCUGGAGAUUUGGACAAUGGAAUAAAAGCACUGUUUAGCUCUUCAGGUUUUACUUUUCCACCCAGUACAUUUUUUAGAGAGUUGCUUAAAAUUGGACAACUUUUAUUUUUUUCUUGCAUUCUUUUCUUGAUCAGUGAUAGAGCUUUCCCCCCUUUCAUGCUAUCCUUAGAUUUAAAUAUCUUCCAACACAGAACUCUGUUUGGCUCCUUUUUUUCCUUUCAGAACAGGAGUGGCUCCCUGUUUAUUAGAGUCAACUUUAAGAACGGGAUCGAACACACGACCACGCGCUUGCAAGGCAGGCACUUACGCUGCUGAGCUAAAUCCCCAGCCUGUAUGACAUUUUCUUUACACAUUUGUGGACAGGUAUUUAGAGGACUCUGGUUAAUGAUUGUGUAUUUGUUUAAGAUUUUUGUCAAGUGAACAAAUGAUAGUUGUGCUUGCCAUGGUGGUGGGGAUAAAGUGGUUAACUAUGUGAAAUGAUGGAUAUGUUAAUUUGCCUCACCAGGGUAAUUUACUAUACAGAUAUCUUACAAUGUGUUGUAGACCUUAAAUAUACAAAAUGUUAUUUAUUUGUAAAACUUCUUUUUAUGGUUCCAAACUCUAGGAAAUUAAAUACACUCAAAAUUCUUUUUUUAAAAAAUUUUAUUUAAGGAGAAAAAGAAUAAAAACAAAAAGUGUACAAGUUACACAGAAUUUCAAAAAAAAAUAAACAGUACAAAAUCACUACUAAAUAGAUUACAUAUUGUCAUCUUAGAAAUAGUUGUUCAGGUUACAAAAUUAAAGCAUGUAAAGUGGACAUUCAAACAGUGAGACUGCAAACAGUUCUGUUCAAUGAUGCAACAAAAACUCAGUAAUAUGGUUAUCUAUCUUAUAUGCUUAAAUAUAUACGCAGUUAUAUCCCUUAGAGCACUUUCUUUUCCUCUCUUUUUUACAAUGAUAUCCCUUAGAGCACUUUCUUUUCCGUUCUUUUUUACAAUGACAAUUACACAUUUUGAGUUUUAUUACUCCCACAGUUCUUACUUUUUUUUUUUUGAAGAGAAUAAAAACAAAUGUGACAUAACAAAACAGAGUCAGUCAAAUCAAAAGGAUGGACAUAGUACAUAAUGUAAAAGCAGAAUACAAGGUGAUCAACAAUGAUUACCAUAAUGCCUCUUGCUAUCUUAAAAAGAAUUGCCUAUAUCAUCGGUUAUAAUAAAGUUGAACAAAACAGUAAAGAACAAAACCAAUAAAACCAAAACAUUGGAGACAUUACAGGAUUUCAAAAGAAGAUAAUAGUCAAACCAGAAUGGGCAUCAUAGUGAAUCUUACUGUCUUCACAGUUGUUGCCUAUACUCUCAAACUUGGUACUGUCAAGCAAAACAGAAUAGAGGAAAAUCAGUCAAAAGAAGAUGGUGAGAGCAAUACAGGGUUUCAAAUCAAGUUAAUAAGAAAUCAAAGUGGGUUACUAUAAUAUAUCCUGCUAUUUUUUAUUUUUUCCCUUAAAAAGAUAAAAAUAAAAAAAAAUAAAGAGAUUGAGAUAAAAGAGGACAUAACAACAAAACAGCACAGGUCAGAACAUAACCAUUUAAGCAAAAUAGUGUUUCACCAUAAGAUAUCCCGACAUAAAAGUAGUUACCAUAGUGUCUCUUUCCUUGGAAUCUUUAAGUAUAACUUUGUAUACUGUAGCAUCAAACAUAUCGAGACAAUGUAAAACCAUUGGAGAGAAUGACAGUAUUACAGGGUAUUUAGAACCAACUAACAGAAAAUGAACAAUGGUUUUCUGUAUUAUUUCCUUGUCUAUAAAAGUUUUUGUUUAUAUUAUCACAUAUAAUAAAAUCCAAUAAGAUACAACAUGUUAAGACCGAUGGAGAGAAAAGAACAAAAGCUUGAUGGGACUUCAAAACAAGAUCAUAUUAAAUCAGCACUAGCUAUUAUGAUGUCUUGUUCUCUCCAAAAUGGCUGUUCAUACCAUCCAACCUUCUCUGCCUCAUUUCUGUUGAGCUCUUUUUCUGUCAUUAGUUGUCAGUUUGUCUUCUUCAUUUCGCUUUCUGCAUUGUGGCCUCUCUGCCACUGUUUCUGGAGUCUUGGUAUUUUUCUCUUAGAAUGUCCUGUAGUAUUCUCUGUAGAGUUGAAUUGGUGGUUGCAAAUUUCCCUAGUUCCUCUUUAUCCUGGAAGCACCUUGUUUCUUCAUUAAUUUCUAGGGACAAUUGUGCAGGAUAUAUCAAUCUUGGCUGGAGAUUAUUGUCUUUCAAAGCUUGAAUUAUUUCGCCCCACGCCCCUUGUGAUUUGAUGGUUUGUGCCAAGGAGUCUGCUGUAAUUCUGAUGGGUGUUCCUUGUAAGUGAUCUGUUUCUUGUCUCUGACAGCUUUUAAUAUUCUGUUCUUCUAUUGGAUUUUUGGAAUUUUGAUUAUUCUAUGCCUGGGUGUAGUUCUGUUUGGGUUGUAGGUGCCUGGGGUCCGGUAUCCCUCAUAGAUCUGAGUAUCUUUACCUUUUCCCAUAUUAGGGAAAUUCUCCUUGAUUAUAUCUGUGAAUAGCCUUUGCAGUUCAUUUGUUUGGAUCCCUGCUGCUUCCUUUACAAUCUUAAUUCUUAAGUUAUAGAUCCUCUUAUCAUCUUCUAGCCUUUGUAUUGAAACAAGCAGUAACAAAAUGCUUUACUAAAUAAAACAUACUUUGCGCACAUUCAUUUAUGGGUUUGUCUUUUCAUCCCUCCUGUCAAAGCGUAGUUGACCAACAAAACUACACAUACACAAAUACAAUAUGAUGUUGUUAUAUACGUAUACUUGGGAGAUAAUCGCCUUAAUAAAGGUAAUUAACAUAUCUACCUAGUUGCUCUUGUGCAUGUGUGUAGCAAAGAUACCUAAAAUCUGUUCUUUUAGCACAUUUUAAGUAUAUCUACAUCAUCUGAUCUUGUAUAAUCAUCAUGCUAUACAUGAAGUCUCCAGAACUUACUUAUCUUGUAACAUCUUCCUGCUUUUUCUAACCCUGGGAGGUACCUUUCUACUGUGUGUUUCUAUGAUUUUUUUUUUUUAAGAUUACAGAUGUAAGUGAAAUUAGGCAGUACUGAUUAUGAUUAUGUCACUUAGUUCAGUGUUCUCCAGGUCCUUCCAGGUUGUCACAAAUGGCAAGGUUUUCUUUUUUCUUUUUUAAAAGUAGAAUAGUAUUGCAUUAUGUGGUGUGUGGAUCACAUUUUCUUUAUCUCUUGACAGAUACUUAGGUUGCAUCAUAUCUUAGCUACGGUGAGUAAUCAUGGAAUGAACAUGGGGCGUAUGUCCCCCCAUGUCCCAGAUGUCUCUUUGAGGUAGUGAUUUUACUUCCUGUGCAAAUACACCCAGGGGUCUCAUUGCUGGGUCCUAUGAUAGGUUCCUUUUGUUUUGCUUUAGGAGACUCCAUGCUGUUUCCCAUAGUAGCUGUGCCAAACUGCAUUCCUACCUGCAGUGUAAAGUUCCCUUCUCUGCUUCCUCACCAGGCUUGCUUGCUAUUGUUUUUUGUUGACUUUUUGAUAGUGGCCAUCACAGUGGGUGUGAGUUGGUUUUAUUGUAGUUUUGAUUAGAAAUCACUUGCUGAUUACUGAUAAUGAAUGUUUCUGUGUGUCUUCCACAUUUUUUUGCCACAUUUUUUUUGAGUUGUAUGAAUUUCUUAUAUAUUUUGCAUAUUGUAUCAGUCAGUAUUUUAUUAGAGAAACAUAUAACACAAGGUAUACAAAUGUGUUACACGAUCAGCUUAUGAUGGUCAUCUACAGAAUUGGGUUAGGAGGCAUGAGAGGGUGUCUGUACACCGCAGACCGAAGGAUACAGUCCGAGGCCUGGAGUUCACGCAGUGUGCCUUGCCACGCUGUAUCAGGAGGCCAGUGAGUCUGCGAUGGAAGGCUGAAGAGCUUACGCCCAAAGGCUGAAGGUACUGCAGCUGAAGUUUGUGCUGGAAGCCAAGAGACACCAUCCAAGCUGAAGCCUGAGACUGAAUCUCCUCCAAAGAAACAAAAGCCGUUUUUCAUGUCUCCUUUAUCCUGUCCAGGCCAUGAGCAGCUCUAGGAUGGGGCCUCUCCAACCUAGGGUGUAAAUGAGCCACCCCAAGGCAGGUCUUCUGCACCCCAGGGAGUAGAAUUGUUGAGCUCAUUUAGUUAAAUUUCUAAACCUGUCAGGUUGACAGCAGUCAACCACUACAGAUGUUAGCCCUUUCUUCAGUAGAUGGUUUGUAAAUAUUUUCUCCUGUGGUAUAGGUUGUCUUUUUAUUUUCUUUUGCCAUGCAUAAACAUUUUAAUUUGAUGCAGUUCCAUUCGUGCACAUUUGCUUUUGUAGCACAUGCUUUUGGUAUCAUGUGCAAAAAAUUACUGUGAAGACCAGUGAGCUUUCUCCUUGUUUUUUUUCCAGGAGUUUUAUGAUUCAUGUACUUAGUUUAAGUCUCUAUUCCAUUGCCAGUUGAUUUUUGUGUAUGUUGUAAAAUAGCUGAACAUAUAUAUAUAUAGUUUACCUGUGACUACUCAGUUUUUCCAACCCCAUACUAAAGAGACCCUUCUUCCCCCAUUGUGUGUUCUGUUAUCAAAAUUUAGCCGUGAAUGCCUAAGUUUAUUUCUUUUGUUUUUUGUUGUGUUCCAUUCAUUGAUCUAUAACUCUGUCAACCUUUAUUUUUUUGCUAUGUAACUGUUCAAUUUUUAUGUCUGUUUUAAUACUGAUCCCAUAUUGUUUUUUUAUUAUAGCUUUUUAUAUAAUUUGGAAUUAAAAAGUAUAUUGCUUCAA